rnacentral:rRNA from 1 species
UACGAAGGGGGCUAGCGUUGCUCGGAAUUACUGGGCGUAAAGCGCGCGUAGGCGGACCUGCAAGUCGGGGGUGAAAGCCCGAGGCUCAACCUCGGAACUGCCUUCGAUACUGCGGGUCUCGAGUCCGGGGAGAGGUGAGUGGAAUUCCUAGUGUAGAGGUGAAAUUCGUAGAUAUUAGGAAGAACACCAGUGGCGAAGGCGGCUCACUGGCCCGGUACUG